rnacentral:lncRNA from 1 species
GAGGUCUUAAAUUAAUGGGUUGAAUUUCACUUGAAAUCAAUGAAAAUAACCAAGGGGUACUUAGCUUAGUUACGUCCAAAUGGUGACAUGUCACUAUCACUCACUUAUCCAUCUGGUUUUACUCUCUUAGACUCAUGAUGGCAUUAUUUCCAAAAAAUCCAACAGCUUUAAUGUGAAAGUCUCUUCUUUGACAGAACACUCAACCACAUCCCUCUGAGAUUUGGAGGUCCUGCUCAUUCUGAGGUUCAUAAACAAUGGUAUGCCUCAAGGACCAGCAAUCAACCCAUACUCAUCUGGUAUGAAUAUGAAAUUUCAUCUGCAAAAAAUUGCUGACAUCAGAAGAAGAUACUACUACAGGCAACAGGAAAACCAUAACAUCAGAGACCUCAUGGGGACAGAGGAUAAACUAAAGGGAAUACAGGAAUUCAUGAAAGUGACACCUGAGAUGAACCUUCAAGGAGAAAUGGCCACUAUACCUCUAUGUCACAAAUACCCACAACAGAGUAAUCUAUUCCAGGAGGACAAGCCUUGAUGCAGACCCAGAAUCUGAAGAAGGGAGUGAGUACACAUUGUAAUUCCUGUAAC